rnacentral:rRNA from 1 species
AUGAAGUGGCAGCCGUUCAUGUCCACGUUCGUGCUGAACAAGAUGUGUGAGCUCAUCUCUAGUGGAGUUAGGACUGACAAGGGCUUCAAGGAGGUGCACUUGAACACCGUUGCAGAGCAGGUGUUCGAUUUCUGUGGGCAAGAGGUGUCUCAGAUGCAACACAUCUUCUCCUUCGGGCUGGCAACUGGGAAGCAUGCCAUGGGAUCGGGUGAGCCUCUUGGUUCUCCCAUGCCAGACUUCCCUGGGACACUGGACGUCGAGGUCCUUGAUGGCCCUGACAAGCCCGUUGCGAAGCCCUUCGACAAGCCAUUUGACCCCAUCCAUGAUAGGAAGAGGAAGAGAAGAGGCCUGAUGGAGGAGGAGAUCAAUGUAUUUUGCAGCAUGACUGAGGCGGUGAAGGAGGUGGCAACAGCCAUCAGGGAGUGCAAGCCCCUCGACGUCCACCCUGACCUAUAUGGCGCUGUCAUGACCCAGGGUGGAUUUAGCGACGAGGCUCUCAUGGCAGCUCUCAGCCACCUGCUUGACAACAAGGCCCAGGGUGUUGGGUUCGUUGCCAUGGCCGACGCUCACAGGGUCACUACAAAAAAAAUACACUUCCUAAUCUAUGAGCCACGAGGACUCAGAAAUCCCAUUACCAUGGGUAUCAAGACUAGCAAAGCUUAA